UGUGCGCUUGUACCUGAAUUCCGUCAUAUAUCAAUUAUUGCUUCGUUUGUCGUUCACCAAAACCUACAAAAGAGUACACGUUUAGUAUAUUGCAUUGAGAACGUGUUUCUAACAAUUUCCCCCUUUUUGAUAAUGGCAAACAUUAAGCGGGAUAUGCAAUUUUGGCAAAAGAUAUUGACAAUUCAAGACAAGUAACAAUUAUGCAAUUCCCCCUCAAAUUAAGAGUUCCCCCUCAAUUUUAGCUUAUAAGCAAUCAAUGAAUUAAGAGGUGGUGCAUACCCGAUAUCCCGU
rnacentral:lncRNA from 1 species